ACGCUCGACACCUACGAGAGGCAGCAGUGGGGAAUAUUGCACAAUGGGGGAAACCCUGAUGCAGCGACGCCGCGUGAAGGAAGAAGUAUUUCGGUAUGUAAACUUCUAUCAGCAGGGAAGAAACUGACGGUACCUGACUAAGAAGCACCGGCUAAAUACGUGCCAACAGCCGCGGUAAUCUGAGCGGGCUGGCAAGGC
rnacentral:rRNA from 1 species